AUAUCAAUAAGCGGAGGAAAAGAAACCAACAGGGAUUGCCUCAGUAACGGCGAGCGAAGCGGCAAAAGCUCAAAUUUGAAAUCUGGCGCUUUCAGCGUCCGAGUUGUAAUUUGAAGAAGCAACUUUGGGGUUGGCCUUUGCACAUGUUCCUUGGAACAGGACAUCAUAGAGGGUGAGAAUCCCGUACAUGGUGAGGUGCCCAACCCUUUGUAAAGUGCUUUCCAAGAGUCGAGUUGUUUGGGAAUGCAGCUCUAAGUGGGUGGUAAAUUCCAUCUAAGGCUAAAUAUUGGCGAGAGACCGAUAGCGAACAAGUACAGUGAUGGAAAGAUGAAAAGAACUUUGAAAAGAGAGUGAAAUAGUACGUGAAAUUGUUGAAAGGGAAGGGCUUGAAAUCAGACUUGGCUUGUAGUGAUCAACUGUCUCUUGGGACUGUGCACUCGCUGCUUGCUAGGCCAACAUCGGUUUUGGCGGUAAGAUAAUGUCAGUUGAAUGUGGCUCAUUCGUGAGUGUUAUAGCUUCUGUCGAUAUUGCCAGCUGGGACCGAGGACUGCGCUUUAUGCUAGGAUGUUGGCGUAAUG
rnacentral:rRNA from 1 species